rnacentral:lncRNA from 1 species
CCAGCCAUUGAGAGGAAGGCAACCUGGAAGAUAACGUUUGCCACGUGUGGGGUGUUUAAUGGGCAGCCACCCUCCCGACUCUUCUAAAUCACACAGAGAAUCACCCAGUUCAAGGACGGAAGACUGAGAAGGAAUUGUUAUACAAGCCUCAGACCUCAAAGCCAAGGACCAGACGUUCUUCCAGUUGAGAGAGGAAAAUCCACCUGACCCUAUGUAUGCAGCCUAGAAAGCCCCAAGGUGCAAAGCUUUGGAGAAAAACCAAAGGCUUUGGGAGUUCCAGAAGGCACAGACCUGAAGGAUUCCCAUCCCACCGAGAGCAGCUCUCACUGGGACACAGACCCAGCAGGGGAGACAAUGCUGUCAUUGUGGGAAACGUAAUGGAGCAAGUGAGGCUUCGGAUGAGCAAGGCUAACGGGGGAGCCUGUGAGAAGGGGCAGAGCAUGUCAGCGUCGCUCCGUGACUUCCCUUUAGGGCUGUGGAUCUGUCUGAUGUUCCAGGAGCAGAGAGGAGCCGGAGAACAGUCACUAAACACCGAGCAGCAGCGCUUAGGCCCUGUCCUCCAUCCUUCACGUUUAUGGCUUCUUCGUAAUUGUUUAUGUUUUCAUUCGUUCUGCAUCUUGGGAGCCACUUUUGAUCAGUCUGCAGAGUGAUAAACUUUUCUGAUCUCAGAGGACCAGUUUGUCCUCCGCCUUGUUAAUAGCCUGUCAAAAGGCAAUGCCUUGGGCAUGUUUCAGAUUCUUACAGCUAAUGGCAUCGGCAUCAGGAGAAACAGCAGCCAAGUUUCCCCUCCUUGUCCUCACCUCAAACUCAUUUUCAGGAAGAUCAGAAGGCACCCUUCCAGGGGGAGCAGGGCUGACAGCCCAGGGAACCAGCAGCUGGAGACGAGAACAUGGGUGUUUACCUUUGGAGAACAGCUUUGAGAUCAAAGCAAUGGCUUUUAAAAAAUAAAACUUUGGCCCGGGGAUUUAGCUCAGUGGUUUCGCUGCCUGCUGCGCAAGCACAAGGACCCAAGUUCGAUCCCCGGUACCAAAAAAAACCCCCCCAAAACAAAAAACUUUGAGGGCCAGGGAUUUAGCUCAGUGGUGCUGCCGCCUGCUUCGAAAACACAGGGUCCCAAGUUUGAUCCCCCGUUCCAAAAAAACAAAACAGAAAAACUUUGACAGAGUUACAAAUCCAGUGCACAUGUCUUAGUCCAUUUUCUGUUGCUCUAACAGAAUGCUGGAGAGUAGAGAAUUUAUAAUGCAAAGAGGUUUAUUUUGGUUCAUGAUUCUGGAGGCUGAAAGUCCAAGCGCACGGUGCUGGCGCCGGUGAGGGCCUUGUGCUACUUCAGCUCAGGGUGGAAAGCAGAAGGACAAACAGGCCGGUGGGGAAGAGAGGCAAAUGNNNNNNNNNNNNNNNNNNNNNNNNNNNNNAAGAAACGCAUUAAUCCCUGCAUGAGGUUUCCACUCUCACGACCCCCCCCCGCUUUCUGGCCAUCUUCACCUGUCAACACGGCCCGGUCGGGGGAGUUAAAGUUCCAAUAUACAAAUUUCAGGGGGGCCACACUCAAGCCAUAGGUACUGGUAAGGAAAAAGAAGAGAGACAGAUUUCUAAAAGCAAUAGUGUCUUCUUAUGGGCCACCUAAUACGUGCAAUCUUAAAUUGAAAUAUUAGGCAUAUUUUGGAAAAUCAGUGUGCGCAUCCUGUGUGUUUGGAAAGGUGUCUGGACCAUGGGGACAGUGAGCUGGCUGGCCUGUGUUCAGUAAGCUUUUGUUCAGGCUGUCUUGAGACUGCAGUGGCCCGGGGCAGGUGGGCACAGCUGUACCCCAAGGGAGCACUGUUCCUUCGGUGGCAGCUACAGGACUAGGACACAUUGUGCAUGGAGUCCCAUGACAGCCUGUUCUAGAACUUCCUCACAAAUUCGUCCUUUUUUUUUUUUUUUUCUGCUGGGAACAUCCCCAGAUGUCCACGAGUAUAGCCAGAUGUUCAUGGUUCUUUAACAGUGGAUAAGGAGGGUAUUGAGGAAAGUCUACUUCCGAGUCUAGUAAGGAACCUGUAUCUUUUCUUCACACUUGGAAUCUUUCCUGUUUUGUCAAGAACUUGGUUUUGUUUAUGGAGGCUGGGACCAGCCCUCUGGGUCAGCACCUCCUUGUAAAUGCACGUGUCUUCCUGUUGGGAAUGAGUCUCCUUUAGCCUCAAUCCACUUCUGACGUCUUGAUUUAAAUACAUAUAUUAGCUAACCUCUACCUUCCUCAUUCCAGAGCAUUUAGGGUGAAAAAUGUCACCAAGGAGAGUUUGGCAUUUCAUAUAUGGGUUUUGGAUAUUGUGUGGGAAUCAUUUCCAAGAACAAAUGAACACUCGAUGUGACAACAAACCCCUGCCACAUUUCACCCAGCAGCACAGACGCCACCACAAGAGGUCCAGGUGCUGCCCCGAGAUGACAGGAGGGUCCUGCCAGUUUCUACCGCACUCCGAGCUUGUUAGUGUCCCAGAGAUGUGAUAAUACACCACACAGCUCAGUCAUUCGCUUGGUUCCGCCUCUAAGAUGAGGCGGAACUGAAUAACAACACUGUGUUCCUUGCUGGCUAAUCUCUGUCCUCUCAUCUCGAUGUUCCUCCUGGGAAGGUCCGGCCUGUUCCAGGAGGCUCACAGAGCUCUUGAGAGAGCAGGAACAGCAGGUACCAGGAUACUGGGUCAUGGCAUUUUUACGGUGAGUUUAAUUUUAAUAGCAGCACUUCCACAGAAGUGGAAUAGGUUGUGUGUGGAUGAGAUUGAAGGGAAGCGACAGAAACCCUUUCAUUGGUCCCAGUUUGAAGAGGACAAGUCAUGUAGUAGAUGAAAUAAUACAUGAGUAUCUAGCACAGUGCCAUGCACAUAGCAUGUUCUUUUUUUUUUUUUUUUUUUCCGGUCAUGUUCUUGAGAAUGCAUGCAUGCACUGUAUUCCAUUUAAGUCACCAGGAGCUCUUUCGUACAAGAAAGACAGAAAAACAGACUAACAGAAACCAGAUGAAUGAGAAUGGGCUGCUCACUGUUUUUGAAAGUCAAGGAAAAAGCC